GUGGGCGCCUCAAUGGAGUCAGAGUUGCAGAAAGACAGAGGAAAGAUUUUACUCAGCUGUCUGCGUUCCUCAGGCAACAGCCAGCUGGUGCAGGUGUUGAACACGGAUGACUGCGUUGUUGAAGAGCCGCUGGUUCUCUGAGGCCGUCCCCUGGUUCACCAACAAACUAACCAGCACCACCGACAACAGCACUAAUGCUAGGAGAAGAAAAGAAAGAGAUUCUGGUCUCAGAUCAGCUUGCCAGGGAAACAUCUAGACAGAACUGACUGGCACCACAAGCAUUUGAUGACUGUAACUUACUUCCACCCUGUGGUUACAAUCGGAAUGGAAGCAGGUGCCUGAGGUAAAUCCCCCAUGAUGCCUCAGCUGUUCAUACUGGGCAUUCUGAUGACUGUCUACCGCCUGAACUUGGCACCUGUCAGUCAAGUGUGGGAAACCAAUACUCCCUGAAGAAAACCCUGUCAGGUGCAUUUAGGAACAGCAUCCUUCCUCUAAAUAUCAACUUAAUAAUUAUGAAUACAGAGAGAUUUGUGUGAGAAUAAAUUGCCAAUAUAAUUACUAAUAUAGGCCUAUUACAAGAUUUUGUUUGUCAUUUCAUUUCUAGCCACAAAAACUAAAUUCAAGAUCUCUUUUUUUUAAAGAGGCUGUAAUUAAUUUUUAGUUGAAUAUGUUAGCCUUAAGGUUAUGAAUAAGGUUAUGAACAAAAUUUGCGUUUAGGAGAAACUAUAUUAGCAUUCAAAACUUACAGUCUCUCACUUCGGCUAAAAUGGAUCACCACGCACUUCAGCUUCUCAUCAGAUCUUCUGUCCAAUCAAAUGUCUCUAGAAUCUAAAGCGUCCCGCCCCCUACAUUAUAAAUAGACGCUGAAGCUGUGGCUGAAAUUGGCCACUUGUUCACACAUUUACUAUUUUCUACAUGGUAAAUGGCACAUAGUGCACUAUAUAA